ACGCAAUGGAAUUCUACUCAGCAUUAAAAAGGAAUGAAUCACUGAUGCAGGCAGCAACAAGGAAGAAUCCCAAAUAGCCAAGGCCACAGCCUAGAAACUUCUCCUUGGAGGCUAAGCCUGCAGCACCCAGCUGAGCACAGAGGACAAUCUGAGGAGCUAAGUGACCGGCUGGACACUCCAUUCACAGAAGAAAGGCCAUGUGAAGAUAAGAUGAGAAGACAGCCAUCUACCAGCCAGGAAGAGAGGCUUCACCAGACACCAACCCUAAAGGCACCUUGACCUUGGACUUCCAGCUUCCAGGACUGUGAGAACGCAAAUGUCUGUGGUUUAGGCCAUCCAGUCUGUGAUACCUUGUUAUGGCAGUCCAAGCCCCAGUGAAGUCAGACAGUCCGGCUGGGUUCUAAUCUCUACUCUAUAUUACAGGAGUUAUACGGCCUUGGGAAAGUCACUUAACUGCUCUGAACCUUAACUUUCUUAUCUGUUGAAAGGGCCCGCUUCACAGGGCUGCUGUGAAGAUGGAAUGCCCUAUGGCAGGGACCCCGCAUAGUGUCCAGCACAGAGGGCACCACAGAGGGCUCAACAACCACAUGGGCCCUCUGAAAGACUUAUUCAUUAAAAACAUGACCACUCUGCACUUUGGGAGGCCGAGGCGGGUGGGCAGAUCACCUGAGGUCAGGAGUUCGAGACAAGCUUGGCCAACGUGGUGAAACCCUGUCUCUACUAAAAAUACAAAAAUUAACUGGGCAUGGUGGUGGGUGCCUGUAGUCCCAGCUACUCAGGAGGCUGAGGUGGGAGGAUUGCUUGAACCUGGGAGGCCGAGGUUGCAGUGAGCCGAGAUUGCGCACUCCAGCCUGGGUGACAGAGUAAGACUCUGUCUAAAAAAAAAAAAAUUACUCUCCUCUCAAAGACUUACAAUCUCUGAAGACAGAGCAGGCCUGCAAUUGUAAUUGUGAGUAAUAGGGCCCCAAGAGGUGUUUUUCUAAACUCUGCUUGCAGUUAGUCGCAUUCCCAGAGGGACAUUUGGCGUUGAUGCAUCCCGUGGCAUAUUCCUUUGUGAAAUGUUUGGCUUUGUCUUAAAACCACAUCAUGCUCCAAAGUGGAGCCACGCUCUCAUGUUUGCAACUUAGUUACCAGAAGCGCUCACAACCUGACCUUUUAGACCAUGUGUGUCCUUUCUCCAAACUAAAACAGCCUAAGCUCUAUUCUGUAACUGAAAACAAGAAGCCAAUCUUGGCUGUCCAUUCUGUGAGUCAGAUGCUGCCAGGCUUAGUGGCAGCACCAGGGGCCGCUGCGUAGUGAAGGUCCUCCUCGCAGCAGUGUGCUCCAGCAGCCAGGAACGAUGUCCUGUGUGGCUUUGCACUCAGGAGGAGAACAUUCGGGGCAUUUUCUUAUCAAAGAGCACUUCGCAGCACUGUCCUGCUCUCCUGGACUCUGUAGGGCAUGGGGCAAGGGUGGAAAUGUGGAGGGCAGGGAAGGAUGCACAGGCUGGUUUGGGGCCUCUGCUCUCUGGGCUCACCAGCCUCUGAGCUCUCCACCCUGCACUCCCCGCCGCCAGGCUUCUCAAGGCCUGUCCCUGCCUCCCAGGGCAGGGCAGUUCCCCAGGGUCUGUUGAUUUGACAGUAAAUGCAAAACUCCUCUGCUUUCUUCCUGUGGAGGAGCCAUCUCUUGGCCACCGGAACACAGGAAUAUUUGUUGAGUGAAGGGAACACGAUGCAGAGUCCAAAGGGGUGAUUCAGACCUGGGUUUCAGUCCUACCCAUGCCCACAGUUCCCCAGUUCCCUGUUUUCUCUGGGGGAGCUCCCGGCAACUGCCGCAAUGAGGCAACUGGGAAAUCCCUUUGUUGGCUGGGCAAGGUGGCUCACACCCAGCACUUUGGGAGGCCAAGGCUAGUGGAUUGCUUUGAGCUCAGGAAUUCGAGACCAGCCUGGGCAACAUGGCAAAACCCUCUCCCUACAAAAAUACAAAAAUUAGCUGGGUGUGGUGGCAUGCACCUGUGGUCCCAGCUACUUGGGAGACUGAGGCUGGAAGAUCGCUUGAACCCAGGAGGCAGAGGUCACCGUGAGCUGAGAUCGUGCCACUGGACUCCAGCCUGGGUGACAGAGUGAGACCCUGUCUG
rnacentral:lncRNA from 1 species